AGAACGAACGCUGGCGGCAUGCCUAACACAUGCAAGUCGAACGUGAUCCAGGCUUCGGCCUGGUGAAAGUGGCAGACGGGUGAGUAACGCGUGGGAACCUGCCCUGUGGUAGGGAAUAACCGUGGGAAACUGCGGCUAAUACCCUAUGAGUCCUUCGGGAGAAAGAUUUAUCGCCAUAGGAGGGGCCCGCGUCGGAUUAGGUAGUUGGUGGGGUAACGGCCUACCGAAGCCUUCGAUCCGUAGCUGGUCUGAGAGGAUGGAUCAGCCACACUGGGACUGAGAUACGGCCCAGACUCCUACGGGAGGCAGCAGUGGGGAUAUUGGACAAUGGGGGCAACCCUGAUCCAGCAAUGCCGCGUGGAUGAUGAAGGCCUUCGGGUUGUAAAGUCCUUUCGGCGGGAAGAUGAUGACGUACCGCAGAAGAAGCCCGGCUAACUUCGCGCCAGCAGCCGC
rnacentral:rRNA from 1 species